AGGGUUUGAUUAUGGCUCAGGACGAACGCUGGCGGCGUGCCUAAUACAUGCAAGUCGAACGCUUCUUUUCCCACCGGAGCUUGCUCCACCGGGAAAAGAGGAGUGGCGAACGGGUGAGUAACACGUGGGUAACCUGCCCAUCAGAAGGGGAUAACACUUGGAAACAGGUGCUAAUACCGUAUAACAAUCGAAACCGCAUGGUUUCGGUUUGAAAGGCGCUUUACGGUGCCGCUGAUGGAUGGACCCGCGGUGCAUUA
rnacentral:rRNA from 1 species